rnacentral:lncRNA from 1 species
GUCCUGUCAAUGACCAGGUAAGUGAGCUUGGGAGUGAAUCUUGAACAAGCUCCAGUGGUUGAUUGAGAUCUGUGAGAGACACUGAAGCAGAGAACCCUGCUCAGCCAAACCUUCAUUCCUGACCUACAGAAAGUGUGUAAGGUAAAUUUGGGGCGAACUUAUUGAACCAUCAAUAACUCAUGUACCUGGUAUAUUCAAGGAACAAAAAUGAGACCAGGCUGGAGUGGGGUAAGCAAGUGGGAAGUGCAGUUAGAAUGGUAAUAAGGCUAAGUAGGACCUUGUAUGUCAUUGUGCAGUUUUUGGUUUUAUUUUGUUUCCUUGAGUAAGCAUGGUAGCCACUGGAAAAUUCUGAGUAGAGGAAUGACAUGAUAGGACUUUGGAUUUACAUGUCCUUUCUCAAAGCUCUAUUAGAGAGUAGGAGUUCCCAUCUUGGCUCAGUGGUAACAAACCCAUGAGGACUUGGGUUUGAUCCCUGGUCUCCUUAAUGAUGAGUUAAGGAUCUAUCGUUGCUAUGAGCUGUGGUGUAGGUCACAGACAUGCCGCAGAUUCCUUUUUGCUGUGGCUGUGGUGUAGGCUGGCAGCUACAGCUCUAAUUUGACCCCUAGCCUGGGAAAUACCAUAUGCUGCAAGUGCAGCCUUAAAAAGAUUAAAAAAAAAAAAUAGUGGUGGAGAUAGGGUUGGAGCAGGUAAACCGGUUAAGCUAAUGCAAUAAUACAGAAGAGAGAAUGGUGUUGGCUUAGUGGAACCAGUGGAGGAAAUAAAAUAAUUUAAUUCUUAAUGUAUUUUUUAUGGUAGAGCUGACAGUAUUUGAUGACAGUGGGUAUAGGAUAGAAGAGAAAGGGAAAAAUGAGAUAAAUGGCUUUAGUAUUUUUUGUUGAGAUUAUAUGUUAAGACAGGGAUGACUGUGGAGGUAGCAGCAUCUGGGGAAGAGUACUCAGGAACAUAGUUUUGUACAUGUGAUGUUUGAGUUGUCUUUUAGACAUCCAAGUAGCAUUGUUGAGUGGGGAGUUCAUUAUGUGGGUAUGGAGUCCUGGGGAGAGCUCUGAGCUGGAGAAACAUGUGUGAGCUGUUACGGUGGUACUUAAAGCCAUGAGAUUGGAUGCUAAUACCAAGGGACAAAGUACACAUACAAAAUAGGAUCCAAGACUGAGUCCUUGGGCAUGUCAACAUUUAUCUACAGGAGAAGAUAUCAGGAACUUGCCAAGAAGACUGAGAAGUGAGGUAAGGAGAAAAGCCAGUGGAGGGUGGCAUCCUGAAAGUCAAGAGGAAAGUUUUCCAAAUAAGAGUGAUCAACUGUUCAUGGUACAAGUAAGAUGGGAGCUGAGAAAUGGCUAAUGGUUUGCAGUGUGGAGGGCAUUUGGGACCUUGUGAAGAACAGUUUCAGGGAGAAUGGGAAAAGGGGAGAUGGAUACCAUGGAUUUGGAUGACUCAUCUGAGGACUUAUACUAUAAAGGGAAAGAGAAAUGGUGCAGGAUCUCAGGGAUGUGGGAUCAAGAGUGGAUUCUUCUUUUAUAUGGGAGAACAUUAAGCAUGUUUGUAUUCUGAUGGGAAAGAUCCAGGAGGAAUUAAAAAAACUGAUUAUGCAGGAGAGCACUGGUGAAUUCUGAGGUUUGUGAGGGGGGUCUUGUGCACAGAAUAGGACUUAGCCUAAUGGUACUUCAUGCAGCUCAUCCACUGAAGCAGGAUUGUCUGGGUACAAAUGUUGGUAGGUGAAUGAUGAGGUGGCAUGAACUUCUGAAUGAUCUCUUCUAGUAAUUUUUCCUCUUUUUUCAGAAUAAUGGAAAGCAGGACCAACCACUAAGAAUGAAGAUGAGGAGGGUGUGUUGGAUAGUUGAGGAGGGAGAAGGUAUACUUAGGAGAUAGUGUGACUAGACUAGGAAAUGCAUGGGAUUCCUGGGCCACAUUGGGGGCCCACUUCAGUUCUUGUUAUGAAUUAAAAUUCACUUGUAUAAAAAUUAGCAUGAUUGUGUAUUUUCUCCAAACCACACAGCUGCAUAGGUGUAGGUGUAAAAGUGAAAAAGUUGGAAUUAACUAAGGUUGGGAUUUGCCAAGAAAGUAAAGCAAGUGAAAAAGGGAAAGGGAACAUAUGCAUAGGAGAGGUUAUGUUGAUUUGCCAUGGAAUUUGAACUUGAGGAGGGAUGCCAGCAAAUGAACAGAGUGGGGGACACUGACGAUGUGAGCAGGAUUAAUGAAUUUUGAAGUGAUGUUGUGUCAAAGGAAUUUUGGAGCUGGGAUACUAGAGUAAAUGACUUCAUGAAGUAUCUUGUAAUGUAUGUAUUUAUUGGGAAGUCAGUCAAGCAACAUGCUGAGCCUUUUAUGGUUUAGCAUGACAAACUGGAGCUGCCAAGUGUUCUGUCAUACCCAAUUUGCCUCCAUCACCUCAAGAAUUGGCUUGGUUGUGAGAUGUUGCACUCAUGUUUCAUUAAAUAUUUAACAUCUAAAAACUUGACUUUUUCUUUCUCCCCUUCUCAGAUAACUUGUGACCUUUGACCUUUAUUCACUAAUAAGGACUUUAAGAAUAUUUUUUGGAGGGGUAGUUCAGGGCGGGUCACUGAACCAAGCAGCUCUGUCUGCCUCAGCUCAUGUCUGGCUGCCAAGAGUGGACAUAGGUCCUUAAAGGCACACCACUGCAAACAGACAAAAAGAAACUUUGGGGUGCCAGAGUGAGGGCUGGAGGUGCAUUAUUUUGGCUUUUCACGCAUGGUCUUUAGGAUCAGCCAAUCCGGGAAGAGAUGUUGAGGCCAUAACUUAAACUGGCAAACCAGGGCAAGUUAGAGUGUUGAGAGCUCUUUGUACAAUUUGAACCCAGAACUCAAAAUGAAUUGAACUGUGAAGAAGGUGAUAUUAUCUAUAUUACUGAUACGAGUGAUACCAGUUGGUGGAAAGGCACCUCCAAAGGCAGGACUGGACUCAUCCCAAGCAACUAUGUGGCUGAGCAGGUGGAAUCCAUUGAUAAUCCAUUGCAUGAAGCUGCAGAAGAGGCAACCUGAGCUGGUUGAGAGGGUGUUUGGAUGACUAAGUCCAUGUUACCAGCUUGGACAAAGCCUUGUACUUUGCUUGUACUGGGCUUGUCAUGGGGGUCACAAAGAUAUAGUGGAAAUGCUAUUUACUCAACCAAACAUUUAACUGAACCAAUGGAACAAGUUGGUAGACUCAGCUUUGCAUGCUGCUGCUUUGAAGGGUUAUGCAGAUACUGUCUAGUUGCUUCUGGCAAAAAGGUGCUGGAACAGAUUUAAGAAACAAUGAGAAGAAACUGACCCUGGACAUGGCUACUAAUGCUGCCUGUGCAUCUCUCCUGAAAAAGAAACAGGGAACACAUGCAUUUUGAACAUUAAGCAACACCGAGGACUGUCUUGAUGAUGAAGACUCAGUUAAUUUCUUUCCAGAGCUUUAUGAGCUAAAACUUCUGUUGCUUUUGGCAUUCCAAAACCUUGUCUUUGCCAGGAGAAUAUAUGUAAUUAUAUAUAAAAAAGUAUAUAUGAACAUGGCAAUGUUGCACUGUGUUUGAGUAAAACAUGUAAAUGAAUAGUCUUCACCUCAGUUUGCCAGUAAGUGCUGCUGUAUAAAGUAUAUUUUUGUUCUGAGUAGAAUAAAAAAGGAUUAUUUCUAUUUAUCA